rnacentral:rRNA from 1 species
UUGCCCGCCGCCGCGGUCCUCCGUCGGUGGCCCGCGUUAUCCGGCCUUCUUGGGCGUAAAGCGCGCGCAGGUGGUUUCUUAAGUCUGAUGUGAAAGCCCACGGCUCAACCGUGGAGGGUCAUUGGAAACUGGGAGACUUGAGUGCAGAAGAGGAAAGUGGAAUUCCAUGUGUAGCGGUGAAAUGCGUAGAGAUAUGGAGGAACACCAGUGGCGAAGGCGACUUUCUGGUCUGUAACUGACACUGAGGCGCGAAAGCUUGGGGAGCUAACAGGAGUAGAUCCCCUGGUAGUCCACGCCGUAAACGAUGAGUGCUAAGUGUUAGAGGGUUUCCGCCCUUUAGUGCUGAAGUUAACGCAUUAAGCACUCCGCCUGGGGAGUACGGCCGCAAGGAUGAAACUCAAAGGAAUUGACGGGG